rnacentral:rRNA from 1 species
UGAGGAAUAUUGCACAAUGGGGGCAACCCUGAUGCAGCAACGCCGCGUGAGUGAUGAAGCAGUUUAUCUGUGUAAAGCUCUGUUGGGAGGGACGAAAUGAUUGGUUAGUUGCCGAUUUUGACGGUACCUCCUGAGGAAGCUCCGGCUAACUCCGUGCCAGCAGCCGCGGUAAUACGGGGGGAGCGAGCGUUGUCCGGAUUUAUUGGGCGUAAAGGGCAUGUAGGUGGUCUUUUAAGUCAGUUGUUAAACUUAUCGGCUUAACCGGUACUUGCAAUUGAUACUGGGGGACUUGAAUUUGAGAGGGGAUAGUGGAAUAUCAAGUGUAGCGGUGGAAUGCGUAGAUAUUUGAUAGAACACCUGAGGUGCAGACGACUAUCUGGCUCAUGAUUGACACUGAGAUGCGAAAGUAUGGGGAGCAAACA